GUGAACCUACGGGGGGCAGCAGUAGGGAAUCUUCCACAAUGGACGAAAGUCUGAUGGAGCAACGCCGCGUGAGUGAAGAAGGGUUUCGGCUCGGAAAGCUCUGUUGGUAGUGAAGAAAGAUAGAGGUAGUAACUGGCCUUUAUUUGACGGUAAUUACUUAGAAAGUCACGGCUAACUACGUGCCAGCAGCCGCGGUAAUACGUAGGUGGCAAGAGUUGUCCGGAUUUAUUGGG
rnacentral:rRNA from 1 species